GAUGAACGCUGGCGGCGUGCUUAACACAUGCCAGUCGAACGGAAAGGCUCCUGCUUGCAGGGGUACUCGAGUGGCGAACGGGUGAGUAACACGUGGGUGAUCUGCCCUGCACUUCGGGAUAAGCCUGGGAAACUGGGUCUAAUACCGGAUAGGACGAUGGUUUGGAUGCCAUUGUGGAAAGUUUUUCGGUGUGGGAUGAGCUCGCGGCCUAUCAGCUUGUUGGUGGGGUAAUGGCCUACCAAGGCGUCGACGGGUAGCCGGCCUGAGAGGGUGUACGGCCACAUUGGGACUGAGAUACGGCCCAGACUCCUACGGGAGGCAGCAGUGGGGAAUAUUGCACAAUGGGCGCAAGCCUGAUGCAGCGACGCCGCGUGGGGGAUGACGGCCUUCGGGUUGUAAACUCCUUUCGCUAGGGACGAAGCGCAAGUGACGGUACCUGGAGAAGAAGCACCGGCUAACUACGUG
rnacentral:rRNA from 1 species